GGUGAGAUGGCCGAGCGGUCUAAGGCGCCAGACUAAGGACCAGGUCAUUUGAUGACCUUGAUAUCUGGUCCGAAAGGGCGUGGGUUCGAAUCCCACUCUCAUCA
rfam:Paxillus involutus ATCC 200175 unplaced genomic scaffold PAXINscaffold_10, whole genome shotgun sequence.